AUUGAACGCUGGCGGCAGGCCUAACACAUGCAAGUCGAACGAGUGGCGGACGGGUGAGUAAUGUCUGGGAAACUGCCUGAUGGAGGGGGAUAACUACUGGAAACGGUAGCUAAUACCGCAUACCAUCGGAUGUGCCCAGAUGGGAUUAGCUAGUAGGUGGGGUAACGGCUCACCUAGGCGACGAUCCCUAGCUGGUCUGAGAGGAUGACCAGCAACACUGGACCUGAGCAACGGUCCAGACUCUUCCGGGAGGCAGCAGUGGGGAAUAUUGCACAUGGGGGGAAAGCUUAAUGCAGCAAGGCCGCGUGUGUGAAGAGGGCCUUCGGGUGGUAAAGCACGUUGAGCGAGGAGGCGUUACUCGCAGAAGAAGCAACGGCUAACUCCGUGCCAGCAGCCGCGGUAAUAC
rnacentral:rRNA from 1 species